UGCAGGGACUGCUCUGGGCCAGGCUGUUACGUCACAGGCAAUCCAACUGAGCAUUCACAGAGUUGCUUGCCUCUUACCGGAAACUAACGUAUCCAGCCAAGUGUACAGUAUCUCCGCCAGUAACGACCGACACACGUACGGCAACAGUCUGCGCAUGCGCGUCUACGACAGCCUCUGUCUGGCCUGUGACGGUGCCAGCUGUAAACACAAGAAACACACGUGCCACAUUGACCACCACUGCUACCAGGCAGGAGAGCGCGCCAGCCACGACCCCUCCCUGGUCUGUGACGUCAGCACAUCCAGCACCUCCUGGACCCACGUCAUCGGCGGUGACGUCACACCACCGCAGUGAAUCGGAACUUAACAACUAUAAUAAUAGGCCAUCCCUUUGAAAAAUGAAACGGCUUUCUUAGAAAAAUAAAUUUUAAUUCAUAUCAGUCUGAUUUGGGCUUUUAGAUUUUGAAUAAUAACAUAUUGAUUUUUUUCGAGGUUGUGACUAUGUACUUGCACAAAUGCGAGGAGUUUGCUGUUGGACAUGAAUUUGCGCAAUACAAAUGCUAUUUUUGGUU